rnacentral:rRNA from 1 species
UAGGAUUCCCUCAGUAGCGGCGAGCGAACAGGGAAGAGCCCAGCACCGAAUCCCGCGUUCAUCCGGACGCUGGGAAAUGUGGUGUUAGGGAGGAUUUCACUCCCGUGGUUUUUGCGGUGCGUCCAAGUCCUUCUUGAACGGGGCCACAGCCCAUAGAGGGUGCCAGGCCCGUAGUGACCGCCGCAGACCGCGGGAUGGUCUCUCCUCAGAGUCGGGUUGCUUGAGAGUGCAGCCCUAAGUGGGUGGUAAACUCCAUCUAAGGCUAAAUAUGACCACGAGACCGAUAGCGAACAAGUACCGUGAGGGAAAGUUGAAAAGAACUUUGAAGAGAGAGUUCAAUAGUACGUGAAACCGUUCAGGGGUAAACCUGAGAAAUCCGAAAGGUCGAAAGGGGAGAUUCAUUCGCGUUUCGGUGAAGGAGUUGGGCAGGCGUGUGACGGCCGGCGUAAGCGUCGGUAGCACCGUUUGUUCUUCGAACCUGCGUCGAACGUGUGCACUUCUCCCCUAGUAGGACGUCGCGAUCCGUUGGGUGUCGGUCUAAGGCCCGUGGUGGAGCCCGCUCGGACAGCUUGCUGUUUCGGACGGACCCGCGGUGUUUCCCGACCGGCUCGCUCGACGGUAUACAGAUGGCGCGGGGCCGCGACUCAGUGCGCGACCGGCCUGUGGCAAGCUCGUUACGUGUGUUGGCUAUCGGACCUAGUGCCGGUACUGACCCGUGGCGGCUGUUCGCUACGGUGCCCUCGGUCAGACCUUUUGAGACGCCAAUCUGCGACGCUAUAGCUUUGGAUACUUUCAGGACCCGUCUUGAAACACGGACCAAGGAGUCUAGCAUGUGCGCGAGUCAUUGGGACUUACUAAACCUAAAGGCGAAAUGAAAGUGAAGGUUCGUCUUGCACGGACCGAGGGAAGAUGGGUGAUCGCCCAAAAAGUGGCCAUCCCGCAUUCCCGGGGCGUCUCGUUCUCAUCGCGAGAAGAGGCGCACCAAGAGCGUACACGCUGGGACCCGAAAGAUGGUGAACUAUGCCUGGUCAGGACGAAGUCAGGGGAAACCCUGAUGGAGGUCCGUAGCGAUUCUGACGUGCAAAUCGAUCGUCGGAACUGGGUAUAGGGGCGAAAGACUAAUCGAACCAUCUAGUAGCUGGUUCCCUCCGAAGUUUCCCUCAGGAUAGCUGGCGCUCGUUGCGCACGAGUCUCAUCCGGUAAAGCGAAUGAUUAGAGGCAUUGGGGUCGAAACGGCCUCAACCUAUUCUCAAACUUUAAAUGGGUGAGAUCUCCGGCUUGCUCGAACUAUGAAGCCGCGAGACACGAUCAGAGUGCCAAG